rnacentral:rRNA from 1 species
UACAGAGACCUCAAGCGUUAUCCGGAUUCACUGGGCGUAAAGCGUCCGCAGGUGGUUCGUUAAGUCGUCUGUCAAAUGCCGGUGCUCAACAUCGGAACCGCGGACGAUACUGACGGACUUGAGGAUGGAAGAGGCAAGAGGAACUGCCGGUGUAGUAGUAAAAUGCGUUAAUAUCGGCAGGAACACCGAAGGCGAAAGCAUCUUGCUGGGACAUUCCUGACACUCAUGGACGAAAGCGUGGGGAG